CGGCGAGAGCGAGCGAGAGCAUUGUGGGGGUGCGAUGCCACAGGCUCAGUGCAAGACCACACAGAUGCUCUGUGCAGGGUCAGCUAGUAAAAUGUAAAAUGAAUCAAUAGUAUGACAUAUGUGUCUGUGCAAUUAUUCCCCUUAGGGGAUGGGGCUGCUAUAGGAAGAAGAGUUUGAGCUCCCUGCCUGGCAUCUCCAGGUCGGGCUGAGUGGGAAUCCUGCCUGAGAGCCUCGGGAAGCCACUGCCAGUCUGUGUAGACAGUACUAAGCUGGAUGGACCAAUGGUCUGACUCAGUGGAAGGCAGCUUCCUAUGUUCAUAUUUUCCCUUGGGCUCAUUUGCAAGGUGCCUGCCACUUUAAGGAAAUUUGAGUGAGUGCUCAGAGCUGUUGCUGGACGGGCUUUCGCCAAGUGUUCUGCUUGCUUUGCAGCCCACUCUGGUACGCAGGCUCUAUGGUAGCUCUGUAUAAACAGACCUUCCACAGCGUUCCGUGGCUUCACACGAGUACUGGAAGGGGAGGCAUACAGAGGGGCCAUCCAUUGGGAUGCCAGCAGGGCAGCAAGAUGUCCCUCACCAUGGGAGGAGAGCUGGUCUUGUGUAGAACUGAGGCCAGUAUACAUUCCACCCCCUGCCAUUUUAUCCUGACAACUUUGUGACAUCCCCCCGCCCCGGCCACCAUUUUAUCUUCACAACAACUUCUGUAAGUGCUCCAUAUAGAUGUCCAAGUAUAUGAUCUGUCAUCUACCCCUGCUACCACCAUCAUUUAAAGUACACAUAGCACCAGUCGUAUCCCAGGUGUUGUACAGAAUGAAGAGGGGACAUUGAUUCAGAUACUAGUGGAGAGACAGGAAACAAUGAACCGUGGAAACAAUGAACCAUGGAGAAAAUCAGGCUUUACAUUCAAAAUCAUCCAGCAUUUAAUACUCAGUACAAGCCUGUUAGUGGCAUUGCAUCUGCAGGAAAGUAUAGCUCUUCACCCUGCUCAGCUAUGGGGAUAUUGCGUGGACAUGAACUGAAGUGAUCUUCUUGGGUUUAGACAGAGGAAAAUCUCUUAGCUCCCAGUUGGGGAUAUAAAUGGAGCACUUUACUGAACAGCAAUAAUAACUGGAAGGCUAAAGCAAUUUCCACCCGAGGGUGGUAAAUCAUUCACAUCUCCAGCCUCCCCCCGCCCCCCGCCAACACUCCCCCCUCCAAAAUGCAGUGAAACCUUACCCAUUAAAAUGUAAUUUUAUCUCA